rnacentral:ncRNA from 2 species
UCGCGGGCCCAAGCGACAGGUUCCCCGCAAGGGGAUCAAAAGGGAACCGGGUGCAAGACCCGGGCUGCCCCUGCAACUGUAAGCGGCGAGCCAUCCGGCCAAUCUGCCAUUGGGACAUGCGUCCUGAGAAGGCGGUCGGAGCGCCCUGACCCGCGAGCCAGGAGACCUGCCUGACGCCGUCGUUCUUC